rnacentral:rRNA from 1 species
UUAAAUUGAAGAGUUUGAUCAUGGCUCAGAUUGAACGCUGGCGGCAGGCCUAACACAUGCAAGUCGAACGGUAACAGGGAGCAGCUUGCUGCUUCGCUGACGAGUGGCGGAC